AGAGCUAGCUUGAAGUUCUUUCCAAAAAUAUAAGACUUGUUUUGAGAGGGUUUUGGAGGACGUAGCAAUUUUUGUUCAAAGUCAGGGUUUAUAUCAGUGAUUUGGGUUUUAUAUAAUGUAAUUAGGACUAGAAAUUUUGGCUAGUUCGUGCAAUUGGCAUGAUAUCUAUGGUUGAAAAUCUGAUGUUGUUUGGAUUAUUGGGUGUGCUAAGUGUAUAAAAAAUUUUGUGAUAAUCUAACGGCGUGGUUUAGAGAUAUCUAGUUUUUAGCGCAAGAGGGUUUCAGAAGGUGGUAGUUUGAGGUUGGAUAGGGUUUCUAUGAUAUCUGAAGAUCUAUUAGUUGGAUUAAGGUGAAAAUUGGCAUGCUCUUGGAAGACUUAAAGAUCAAGCUACACACCAAUUUUGAGACAAAGUUAACAGUUGGAGAAGGAGAAAGCAUUGCUGGAAUUUUUAUUUCACUUUUCAAGUUGGCGGCUGAGUGACAUUGGUACAAUAUUUGGAGGUUUUCUCACAAUCUGUAAGUUGGAUUGGGCUAAAAGUUCUUGAGCAUUUAAAAGACUUGCAUUGAAAAUUGCAUGCAAAAUUCCACAUUAAGUGGACAGUCGGAUUGGAUGUUACAACUUGUUAAAGCUCACUGAUUAGGCUUAGAGUU
rnacentral:lncRNA from 1 species